CAGAGUUUGAGAAUUUGGGCUCUGAAUUUACUGGUGUGUGAACAAAUUAGCAUUGAUAUGAUGCCUACUUUCCAGGUUCCCUUGCACGUUCAGUGUAAAUCAAUAAUGCUGCUGCUUAUCUUAUAGUAUGCUGAUAGUAAUUAUUACCAAUUUAGUGGUGCAUUUAGCGGGUCUUAGUUUUAUCUUACCAAGUAUAAAGUCACAUUCUGUGUAUUUAGCAUAGCAAUUCCAACGAAUGAUAGGAUCCUGAUUUGUUUCUACUUGAUGAGUCCGAAAAUCAUGUCGAUUUCGACACCUGAUCUGUUCCUUCUUGCCUCCUUGGUGUAGAUUCCAGCAUUUAGUUGAUAGCGGAUGCUCGCAUAAUUUAUCCACCUUUCGCUAUCUCUUUAGUGUGACUCUUUCCUUGUGUAUUCUUGGCCUUUUAUCUUCUUAGUAAGCACAGAAGGAGAAGAAAUUAUCUACUUUCAAACAUUAAAUUAACGUUAUGGUGAUUUGUUCCUUUCUGCAUUUAAGCUCUUUUUGAUUUCCCCAUAGUAAAUCGGUUGGCACCAAUGAACUGCUCGCUCGGCUCAGCUGUUUGUGUUUUUGUUUCAGACUUUUUGCUCACCUCCGGCCUAAACCCUCAUGUUUUCCUCUUCUAAUCUUUUGUGAAUCAAUUGGUGUUUCAAUUCCUCUCUUGGUUAACAUGUAUCGCCACUACAGUAAUAAAUAGGUAUUUUCCCUCCCAAUUGGCUCUCUCUCUAUAACGCCUCCUUCAAUAGUUCACAAUGGUUCUAUGUAGUCUUAGGUACCGCCACUGCCAGGACAUCAUCAGGGUGCGUAAGUAUUCGAUGAUACCUCUCAAGAAUAUGAUCCUUACAGGAUCAUGCGAUAGUUAAUCGGAUUUCCUGCAAAUUGAUAUGCUCAGUUACUACUAGCAGUCUUUAUGUAUACAUGUUUAUUUUCUUCCUGUGUGCUUGGUACAACUAUUGGUAUUUCAGUUAUUGUUGCUGCUGAUAGAAUGUCAUGGCAAAUGCAUGUUUUGCAAUGAGAAGACGAUGAACCUGAAUGUGCUAGAGAGAUAUACUAUAAAAAGAACAAAAAUAAAUGAUAAGUAGCAAACCAAAUGGUUUGGGACCUAUUAAUUCUUUUGCUUGGCAAUAUUCUUGAUGGGAUUAAUUUUAAGACUUCGAGUUCCUUCUGUUACAAGAUUUUCUGUUUUCAUUUGAACGAGAUGAUGGGUGAUUGUAUUGAAGAUGCAUGAGGAAAAAAUAAUAGGCAAAUGAUCUUACACUUUCUUAUAUUGUGCAAUAUGCAUCAAAUUUCCCCGGCGACAACGAUAAAGUUGGGCCUUCAGCAAAGAAAGAGACCGUCGUGAUCCUCCACUCCACCAAAGGAAAAAAAAUCCAUGGUCUUCGACUCCCCCAACCGUCAUAUGAUGGCGACAGAAAGCGCUCAUAUCUCCGAAGCUACAAAGCAUUAUGGUUAUCUUGGUAGUACCUUCUUUCGGUUUUCAUCACCACAUAUAUGUAUGUAGGGAUUCAAUAUGCAUUCUUUCAUGUACCGCAAACUGGCAAGCUUGAUAUGAUUUGGAAAGAUAUUUCUGUUUUUAAAAGCCUCUUUCUCUCAUGUCUACAACUAUUUUAAGGUGAUACUAC